UAGUGGGAAUUGAAGUCUUGGGAGGCUUAUUUAAGCUUUUAGUGGGUUUUAUAUUUGAGCCCAAGUGAAAAUAAUUUUAACGUGUUAGUAGGUUAGGGUUUCCUGCUGAAAGAUAGAGAGAGAGAGAGAGAGAGAGACGGCAAAGUUACAGGAAACAAAUCCUGCAUCCGUAUGGUCGUGUGGUCAGGUUCUAAUUGAUAUUGUUUCAGACCGUUGAGUUGAAGCUUGGUUUAACAACUAGAGAUUAGAGCAGUGGAAUAUCUUUUGGUGGUAGAUCAUUGGAGACAUAGAUUGAAGACUUCUUUUGGAGCUAUGUUAGUUGAGGGAUUGUUUUAGUAUAUUUUCUUAGGAUAGUAAUUUUGGCAUUUGUGGAACUCUUUGAGAUUGUAUUUGGAGACUUUAUUGUUAAAGUUUUUGUUUUAUGGAUUUCAUAGGAAAGAUUUUGAUUAUUUGAAGUUUAUUUGUGGAUAUUUA